rnacentral:rRNA from 1 species
AAAAAAGUGGGUGAUCCUAUGCUGCCAAGAAAAGCAUCGACGCGAGGUUCUAGCCGCCCGUACCCCAAACCGACUCAGGUGGUCAGGUAGAGAAUACCAAGGAGAUCGAGAGAAUCGUGGUUAAGGAACUCGGCAAAAUGCCCCCGUAACUUCGGGAGAAGGGGGGCCUUCGGCGUAUUAGGACUUGCUCCGAAAGCGUUUGAAGGCCGCAGAGACUAGUGGGUAGCGACUGUUUACUAAAAAACACAGGUCCGUGCUAAGUCGCAAGACGAUGUAUACGGACUGACGCCUGCCCGGUGCUGGAAGGUUAAGAGGACCGGUUAGCCGCAAGGCGAAGCUGAGAAUUUAAGCCCCAGUAAACGGCGGUGGUAACUAUAACCAUCCUAAGGUAGCGAAAUUCCUUGUCGGGUAAGUUCCGACCUGCACGAAUGGCGUAACGACUUCCCAACUGUCUCAACCGCGAACUCGGCGAAAUUGCAUUACGAGUAAAGAUGCUCGUUACGCGCAGCAGGACGGAAAGACCCCGUGACCUUUACUACAGCUUGGUAUUGGUGUUCGGUGUGGCUUGUGUAGGAUAGGUGGGAGACUUUCAAGCGUGGACGCUAGUUCAUGUGGAGUCAUUGUUGAAAUACCACUCUGGUCACUCUGGAUAUCUAACUUCGAACCGUAAUCCGGUUCAGGAACAGUGCCUGGUGGGUAGUUUAACUGGGGCGGUUGCCUCCCAAAAAGUAACGGAGGCGCCCAAAGGUUCCCUCAACCUGGUUGGCAAUCAGGUGGCGAGUGUAAGUGCACAAGGGAGCUUGACUGUGAGACUGACAGGUCGAGCAGGGACGAAAGUCGGGACUAGUGAUCCGGCAGUGGCUUGUGGAAGCGCUGUCGCUCAACGGAUAAAAGGUACCUCGGGGAUAACAGGCUGAUCUUGCCCAAGAGUCCAUAUCGACGGCAUGGUUUGGCACCUCGAUGUCGGCUCGUCGCAUCCUGGGGCUGGAGUAGGUCCCAAGGGUUGGGCUUUUCGCCCAUUAAAGCGGUACGCGAGCUGGGUUUAGAACGUCGUGAGACAGUUCGGUCCCUAUCCGCUGCGCGCGCAGGAAGUUUGAGAGGAUCUGACCCUAGUACGAGAGGACCGGGUUGGACGAACCUCUGGUGUGUCAGUUGUUCCGCCAGGAGCACCGCUGAUUAGCUACGUUCGGGAUGGAUAACCGCUGAAAGCAUCUAAGCGGGAAGCCGGCCUCAAGAUGAGACUUCCAUGCCUUCGGGCGAGAGGCUCCCAGCCAGACUACUGGGUUGAUAGGCCAGAUGUGGAAGCGUGGCAACACGUGCAGCUGACUGGUACUAAUAAGCCGAUGACUAGAAAAA